ACCAGGGUGGGACCUUCCCUCUUCUCACUUCGGCCUGGGACACUCAGCCCAUUUGAGUUCUCACGAGACGCUGGUGCCCAGGCACGAGAUCUGAAUGAAAUCUUUCUAGGCAACAGGCACCUAACAACCAGUCUCCCUAAUCCCACCAACCACCCUCCGUGUGAUGCUGGCCAGAACCAUUUUAAACACCAAUGUGAGCCCUCCCUGCAGAUUUGAACUGCUGCUGUCAACCCUAAUCUCAACCCUGUGAGAAAUGACAUUCACAGAGGAUUGCCUGGAGUGUAUUUAAUAUAUCUCCUCCUUUAGAUUUUUGACGGAACCAGACCAUCAACGCCUGUGCUCUUGGAACUCUGACCUUCCCUGCAAGUAUCACAUUUGCUUUCAUUGCCCUUGGGUGUUGGGCCCUCACUGUAUGUUUCAGCUGAUUGGGUUUAUGGUGGACACAUUGGGGUGGAUGUGACUCAGUUUCCUUUACACAGGAUUGCAGGGGCGAAAGAGCACCGGAAUUGUCUUCAUCCCUAGGAAAGUGCCAUAAUAAAAGGAAACUGUAUUAUUUUAAUUGCUGGGAGUAGAAUUUUUCUUAGGCAGUAAAUGGCUUUUGUUUGGGAAAACAUUUCCAUAAGCUGUGAGUGGUGGGAGUAGGAAGCCAAAGCACUGGAUGUUUCUACAAGUAACUCAAAAGAGAUAGUCUGUUCUGCCUGAGACAAAGUGGGGAAUUUGGCCUCUAAGAGGCUGGAGAGAAAAUUCAGAGAAGCCAGGAGAGGAAGGGAAGGGAUGCCUAUAAGAUAGUGUGUGGAGUAAAGGCCAGUGGCAGAGGGCCAAAGGCAGUGUCCUCCAUCUCCCCAACCUUGACUUUUUGUGAACAUCUUCACUAUUUUGUGUGAGUAGAGUCUUUCAUAGAAGUCAAAGAAAAGGCUAAGCUUCACACCUGCGAGCAAUGUGGUGUGGAAAGAGGUAGCCUUUGUAAGAUCAAGAGCUCAGAGAAACUUGGCCCCCAGGGGAACAGAAGAAAACUCAAGACAUGUUCUGAACCUCCCCCGGGCCUGGAGACCCCAGCCAGCAUCUGGCUUACAUGACUGAUUGUGUUUUCUUAUUGGCUUUCGUCACUGGGAAACUCACUAGGUCACUGAGUAUAUCGGGGUCCCUUAUAAUAAAUGUUCGGGAACUUAUUGGCUUUCAUUGUUGGGAAACUCAGGGUGUAUCGGGGGUCCCUUUUAAUCAAUGUUCAGGAACUUAUGCAGAGUUGCUUCCCACAUCUUAUCCUACUAUUUGGCCUUCAUUUCUCUUGCUUGUCCAGAAUGAACCUUGUCUUCAUCUGCCUGGCAUCCCUUCCUGUGACACAUAUUGUCCCACUCCAUAUGGUCCCUACAGAGCUGCCAAUCAGAGUGCUCAGCCCUACCUCUGUCACAGGGGUGGGUACCUGACUGCUGGCAAAAAUGCCCCACCCACCUGGCCACAAGGAUGGCCACAGAACUCAAGCUGGGUCAAUCAGAGAAUCGUCUAAGGUUGAUAUGAGGAGAGAAUGUUCUCUCAGCUGCUUGCUAAUUUGAAUGAGUACGAAUUUGAGGAGCUCUCUUCCCCAUCAUAUGAACACAACUUUAUUUAGCCUGGUGCCAAGUGGAGGCAAGCAGAUCUGAGAGACAGAAUAAAAGACAGAGCACUGACAGUAUCAUUUGGGCCCCAAAAUCUAGCUAUACCUUCAGCUGGAGCCAUCCCUGGAUCUACCUGUAAAUUGAGCUAAUAAAUUCUCUCUUUUUUCACCAUGCACUGGGAUACAGGCUGGAGGCGGAAGUCAGAUUAGCUUUGUUCCCAUUUCAAGUCCAGAGGAAGCCCUCAAUUUGGGCAUAAGGCCAAAGGGGCUGUACUUAUCCUUAAGUGUCAGAAACUACAAGGGCAAAUUCAGUUCAAGAACCAUGACCAGGAAUAGAUUUCUGAAGUUAGUUACUAGUUAACAAAAAAUCGAACGGAUCACCUCCCCAGUAGGAUUGUGGGAAAAUAAAAUUUCCAGAGAACUCCAAGCUUGGCAAACGGUGAUCUGUGAUUGCUCAAAUGCAAGGGCAAGUCCCAGGCCCUGCAGUUAUGCUGAGAGGAGGCGGCCAUUAAAGUAGCACCCCAAUGAGGAGUCUUUCCCUAAGUCCUUCUCAGAAGUGGCCAUGGAAAACCCUAGACAGGGGGUGUCCUUGAAAUAGGAAGGCAGUUGGGGUCACUUGGGUUGGCUGACCUGGGAAGUGACUCCCCUGCCUGGGGCUGUCCCAAUUCCUUCCCUGUAGACCAUGCAGUAUACAAAUGGGACAUUUUAUUGCAGUGUUUCUUUUCCCUCUAUCAUUGGGGCCUCCCUAUGUUGGACAUGAUGGUGACGGCGGUUAAACUUUUUUUAAAGCUAUAGUCUACCAAAUCCACAGAAGGUUGUUUCAAAACCUAAUGAAGAAGGAGAAUACAUCACCCAGAAGCUCUGGGCCUGGGACUGGAUCUGGCAACUAGAUGCUGAUUGGUUUUUAAGUUUUUAUUUAUAUAGUCAUUGUAUUAUGCCAGGUGGGGGCAUUCAGAGAAUUGCAUUUAUGGAGGAAGGGUGAUUUUCUUGCUCUAGCUUUCCUCCCAGAAGAGACGUCUUCUCUGACCCCAUGUAGUUCUGGAGUUUCUAGGAGUCAAAAUACCCCCACCCCUAUUCCAUCUCCACAGAAGUGGGACCUAGCCCAUACUAACCAGACAGAGGCCCGCCAUCUCUCUAUCCAUUGUGAUUGGUUCAGUUGUGGGCAUGUCACCUAAACACAGCCAAUCAGGGUUGACAAAUGAGCACUAAGGUCGCCUUUACCCAAAAAAUGCUAAAGAAGUCAAUGCAGCUUCAAAUUCAACAUUCGGUUCUCUUUUCUUAAAGGUUCUUCCUUCAUCCCAACAUUGAGAUGUUCCACUGUUUUACCUCAUGAAAGUUUAGAGCCUCAGACCAUCA
rnacentral:lncRNA from 10 species